rnacentral:lncRNA from 1 species
CAAAAUACGCCUUCUUUUUGCGUUUAAUUGCAUGAUUAACUUCAUUACGAAUUGAUUUGUAAAAAUUCCAAUGAUUCUCAUUUUUUGAUUUUUUAAAUUUUAAUAAUGCUUUAUCCCUUAAUUUCAUCAUAUACCUUAAUGUGUCUGUUAACCAUGGAGCCUUUUGUCUUGUAAUUUUAAUUUGACGAAGAGGUGCAUGAAUUUGAAAUAAAUUUAGAAUAGUGGAAUUUAAUACGUUGAUUUUACUUUCAAUAUCAUUAAGUAGAUAAAUUUGUUGAAGGUCGGAAGCUGCUAGAUCUCGAUGAAAAUAAUGCGGUUUAAAUUUUUUUAUACCCGGUGAUCCAAAGUAACAAGAUGGCAUGGAGUGAUCUGAUACUAAAGGACACUUAGUAACUUUUACAUUACUGAUU